rnacentral:rRNA from 1 species
CCUACGGGCGGCAGCAGUAGGGAAUAUUGCUCAAUGGGGGAAACCCUGAAGCAGCAACGCCGCGUGGAGGAUGAAGGUUUUCGGAUUUGUAACUCCUUUUGGUAGAGAAGAUAAUGACGGUAUCUAACGAAUAAGCACUGGCUAACUCCGUGCCAGCAGCCGCGGUAAUACGGAGGGUGCAAGCGUUACUCGGAAUCACUGGGCGUAAAGAGCGCGUAGGCGGGAUAGCAAGUCAGAUGUGAAGUCCUAUGGCUUAACCAUAGAACUGCAUUUGAAACUGGUAUUCUAGAGUAUGGGAGAGGUAGGUGGAAUUCGUGGUGUAGGGGUGAAAUGCGUAGAGAUCAAGAGGAAUACUCAUUGCGAAGGCGACCUGCUAGAACAUAACUGACGCUGAUGCGCGAAAGCGUGGGGAGCAAACAGGAUUAGAUACCCGAGUAGUC